AUUCUUUUUUUCAAAAAUUAAAUUUUCCCUAUCUAAGGUUGACACGUGUCCAGUAAUCUGAACAUAACCUUUCCCUUACUCCUACUGCGCUUUCUCUCUCUCUUUGAACCAAAAUUUGCUUUCUAUGAACCAAAAUCUCCUCUUUUUGACACAAAACCCAUUCUCUCUCUUUGGGACAAGACCCAAUCACUUUCUCUCUGAACCAAGAUCCUUUCUCUUUCUCUCUGAACCAAGAUCCUUUCUCUUUGAACAAAAACCCUCUCUCUUAAAUUACCCUUUCAUGACUUCUUAAUCCCAAACCUUCUCUAAAAAAAACAUCAAUUAAAAGAAUCGGAAAGCAAAGAGAAAGAAGAAGCUACCAAUUGGGGUUUCAUGGAAGCUAUUGCAAUGGCGGAAAACGGCAGGGCUUUGGGUGUUCCAGGAGGCAGCGUGGCUUGCGAGGCAGAGGACGCGAACUAUCGUCGGAAAUCGUGUCACCGACGUGUAUGUUUAAGUUCUAUUUCAGAAGGUUGCAGCAGUGGCAGGUAGUAUGGUUUGAAUCAGUGGUUUGUGGGUGUUUUCGGUUCCUCGCCGGUGAGGUACAGGAGUUCUGGUGUGGAAACUAUGUGAUCGGAGGCACACCUUCCAACGACGAAAAAACGGUGGAUUCCCUUGUUUCUUCUCUUUUAUUUUUCCGGUUGCAGCCAUCAUCAACAACAACGGAAAACUUCAUCCCAAGACUGCUCUCAGUACAUCCAUAAUUAGUAUUAUUGGUUUCUCCAAAGCCAAUACCGUUCAAGCUCAAAGUAGUAUUACCGAUCCUAAGCUCAGCAUCAUGAGGAAACAAUACAACUUUCUCGUUCAAAUCCAUUAUCCAGAUGUUGUGCACUACAGCUACAGGAGGUUGAAGUAGCAGAACAGUUCACCACAUACUACUACAAGAUCCACAUAUCUACCAGACUAGAAAAAGAAAUUUAAGCAUAAAGCAUCAGCCGCUUACAAAGCCUGAUGUAUCUGAUCUAUCCAUUUUCACACCAUCCCACAACGGUACUGCGUUGCACGGUUUAGAAAGUUUCAGAGGAAGGUCCAUAUGCGGCGUAUUGAUUGGAUCGAUUCUCCGAUGUUUUCAUGGUUGUGGCUGUGUAGUGCGAGUUGUUGGAUUGUUGGAGAGUUAUGGUACAAUGCGGUUCAUAUGGAAAUGAGUUUCGCUGGAACUUGUUGUUGUGUUUCGCAGUGAGAAGACCUGAGUUGUGUUACCGUGGUGGAGUUUGGUGUAGUGAUGUCGUUUGUUGUAGGCGAUGGAGACACAAACGGACAGGAAACACGGAGGUAGCACACUUUCUAACAACUUUGGCACGGUGGUAAUUGCUGAGAUGUAAGUGAUGUUGUUGUUGCAUACCAACUUGAUUGAAACAGCAGCAGAAACUCGUAACAGAGGUUGUCGCAUGCCAACUUUGAUGUGUCACUGUGAGGUGUGGUGGAGGAGUAUGGAUUUAUGUUGUGUUAAGGAUGCAAGGUGUACGUAUGUUGGCGGUGUAUAUGUGUCAAAGGUGGAGAUAUCGAUAGAGGCUUAUGGUGUGAGUUUUGAAGGUUAUGGAUAUAAAUGUUAUGGUUGUUUUGAGAAAGAAGGUGAAGUGAGUCCAAGGUCUUGACUUGAAAAAUGAAGAAGUAUGUAGCUUGAGAGGUUUUGAAAGAGAAGUGUGGACAAUCCAUGUGUUACAGUGUGUAAAAGAGAUUAUUACAGGGCUUCAAAAAUGUUGUUCAUUAAACUCAUGUUUUCAAGCUAUUUCCUCCAUAAAGCUUCAGUGGUCAGUGGUAUUUGUAGAAUGGCUAAGGUUAUUCAGGGUGAUAGUGAAGAGCCUCGUUUUUUUUUCAAGGAUCUUUUGUCGUGGUAGCUAUUGUAGUAUCUCAUUUUAUGAUAAGGAAGGAAGAUCAAGUGUUGUCUCAAAGGUGUUUUGUUGUAUAGCAUGGCUAUGGUGUGUCACGAGACAAAAUGUUACAUGGAGAAGGAAGAUUCUUCUUUUCUCACCAACUGACCAACUUAUCUCAAUCUUUCUUUUCUCUUUUUGGGAUUUCAAAUUGAAAUAUGAGAUAGAGUUGUAGCAAUUGGAUAGGGGCGCCGCUCCCUCCUCCUAUUAGCCUCUUCCACAAUCUUAUUUAUACCAAAACUUAGGGUUA